rnacentral:lncRNA from 1 species
UUUUUUUUUUUUUUUUUUUAUGUAUUAACUAAUGACACGAUUUUUAACCUUUUAUGAAAAGUGAUAUCUUGUUUGCCUUCUCUAUUUAUAAGUUCUUAUAUAUAUAUAUAUAUAUUUAUAUUCAUUUAUAUAAUUAUUUAUAUAUUUAAUUAUUUUAUAUUUAAUUAUUUACAUAUUUAUCUAUUUACAUACUUAUCUAUUUACAUAUUUAUUUAUUUACAUAUUUAUUUAUUUAUUUAUUUAUCACAUUUUCAUACAACUUGUUAUUUUUAAUUAGAAAAAACAGUGGUAUACAUGAUGGGCGAACAUAGUAAAGUAGUAGGUGUAGAUGGAAUAAUCCCAGAACAAAAAGAAAAAGUUAGUACUGGGAUAAAUAAACAGAUAACAGUGGAAUUAGUUGAGAAACAAAAAGUUGCGUUAAAAACAGAACUAAAAGAAAGGGAAGAAGGAAUUUAUAAUUCUUUACCUGAAAGUAAAGAAUUACUUUACGAUGAUUUAUUUAAAAAGUUGGAAACUGGUGAUGAAUAUGUACAAAAGAGAAGUUUGGAAAACUUGUUGGAAAUGCUUCAAAAAAAUAAUACGUCGGAAGAUAUAAUACCUAAUCGUCGUUGUUUAAGACUAUUAUUAACUUUAUUUAAUAAGCACGUUGUGUUAGUACUUGAAUGUUUGUUGAGUAUAUCUGCACAUAGGCAAAAGGAGUUAAUAGACAUCGGCUUGAUUGAGCAACUAUAUGACAUGAUAACUGAGGAUGCUAAUCAAGAAAAUAAGCACACUGACGGAUAUAUAAUGCUACUGGCAAAUUUGACAAGAUACAAAAAUGGUGUAUAUCGACUAUUGAAUCUUAAUGAAUAUAAUUUGCAUAAACAAGAUAAUAAUGAGUUUUUAAUUAAUGCGUAUUUAAACAAAUUGUUACAUUUUUUUUUCUUACCUAUAGCUGAAUGUUCUAAUAAAAAUGUAAAAGAUAAGUAUAUAUAUGUUGGGUAUAUAUUAAUAAAUAUAAGUGCAGUAAAAGAAUGUGUUCCUUUUUUUAAGAGGGUUAAUUUUUUAAAUAAAAUAUGUACUCAGUUAUUAGUUGGAAGUAGAUUAAAGUUGUUAGUAGCUUUUGCAACUAACUUAAGUUUACAUGAAAGUAUUCAUGAUUAUAUAUUUGAUGAAAAAUGUGUUAUGUUUCCAUAUUUAUUAAAAAGUUUAUGUACACAACCGAACACAGCUAGUAAUAGUGACAUUCCAAUAGAAACCCCAUCACUUAAACCUACGAACGACUCUAAUAUAAACGAAAAUAUUUCACAAAAAAUAACAGUACCAACAGCCACUAAAGAAAUCAAACAAAAAAUAUUAGCGCUUAUAUGUCAUUUAUAUAAAAAUAAUAAUACCAAGUAAUUUUUUUUAUUAAUUACAUUUUUUUUUAGGGUGUAUAAUUAUACCGUACGCACGUGGUUGUGUUAAUUCAUUUAUUAGCUAGCUACUCCCUUCAUUUAAUUAACAAACUUAUUUAUUCGCAUUCGUAUUCGCAUUCUUUUUUUUUUUUUUUUUUUCAGGAGUAGACUUGUCAAAUAUGGUAUACGCGAAUCUAUAAAAUAACGGGUGUUUCGAGAACUAUGAAAAAAACUAAUAUAAGUUUAUUUGUUUAUUUAUUUAUUUACUUAUUUAUUUAUUUACUUAUUUAUUUAUUUACUUAUGUUUUUAUUUUUUUUUUGGGAAAAUUACUUUUUUAAAUGGCCCUAAAAAUUACAUUAAAUUUGUCAACCUGCCAACAUGUCAACCAAUUAUAGGUUUAAUACUUUGAAAAUUAUGUCUAUCUUUUACAUAUUUAUAUAAAAUUAAAAAUUUUUUUUUUUUUGUGUAUAUCUUUUAUUUUUAUGAUAUAUAUAUAUAUACUCUUCUUUAGUGUUUGUAUACAAUUUUUGUUCUUUUUUUUAAUAACAUUUAUAUAUAUAUUUUAUCUGUUAAUAUGUAACGGAUGUUACGAAAAACAAAACGUUAUUUUAAUUUUUUUUAUUUUAAUGGAAACUUUUUUUUUUAAAUUGCUUGGUAUUCAUGUGUAUAGCACUGUUGAGAAAUAAUAUGAAAAAAUGGACACACUCAAAAAAAAAAAAAAAAAAAAAAAAAUGAGUAUAUAGCCAAGCGUAAAACUUAAAUAUAACAGUAAAAACAAAAACAAAGCCAAAUCGAAAUUAUAAAAAAAAUAAUUUACUUACAUUUUUAAAAAGCUUUGAAAAUAUGAAUAAAUAAAACAACAAAAUUAUGCA